rnacentral:rRNA from 1 species
GUUGGCAUCAGUAGCGAGAUGUGGGUGAGAAUCCCACAGGCCGAAAACCUAAGGUUUCCUCAGGAAGGUUCGUCCGCUGAGGGUUAGUCGGGACCUAAGCCGAGGCCGAAAGGCGUAGGUGAUGGACAACUGGUUGAUAUUCCAGUACCACUACCAUCGUUAUUAUCGAUGGCGUGACGCAGGAGGAUAGUGUGUGCUAGCUAUUGGAUGCUAGUCUAAGCGUUUAGGCAGUGAGAGUAGGCAAAUCCGCUCUCAUAAUGCUGAGGCGUGAUGGGGAAGGUUCUACGGAACCGAAGUACAUGAUUCCACGCUGCCAAGAAAAGCGUCUAGAGAGAGAAGUAGUGCCCGUACCGCAAACCGACACAGGUAGGUGAGGAGAGAAUCCUAAGGCCUGCGGAAGAAUUACAGUUAAGGAACUCGGCAAAUUGACCCCGUAAGUUCGCGAGAAGGGGUGCCUACGAGAGUAGGCCGCAGAGAAUAGGCCCAAGCAACUGUUUAGCAAAAACACAGGUCUCUGCUAAAGCGUAAGCUGAUGUAUAGGGGCUGACGCCUGCCCGGUGCUGGAAGGUUAAGGGGAACACUUAGCGCAAGCGAAGGUGUGAACUUAAGCCCCAGUAAACGGCGGCCGUAACUAUAACGGUCCUAAGGUAGCGAAAUUCCUUGUCAGGUAAGUUCUGACCCGC